rnacentral:misc_RNA from 1 species
ACAAAUCCAAUAAUUGUGGAAGGACUCUGUCCUUUCUGCAAAUAUUAAUCCGCCGGUUGCUCUAUGUAGCAGCUGGCCGUGAUAUAAAUGCGUGUUAUGUCGACAGUGUGUGUGUAAAUUAAUAUUGA